CCUACGGGUGGCUGCAGUGGGGAAUAUUGCGCAAUGGGCGAAAGCCUGACGCAGCGACGCCGCGUGAGGGAUGAAGGUCUUCGGAUCGUAAACCUCUGUCAGCAGGGAAGAACGGUCACUGUGCUAAUCAGCAGUGAAUUGACGGUACCUGCAAAGGAAGCACCGGCUAACUCCGUGCCAGCAGCCGCGGUAAUACGGAGGGUGCGAGCGUUAAUCGGAAUUACUGGGCGUAAAGCGCUCGUAGGCGGUAUGGCAAGUCAAGGGUGAAAUCCCCGCGCUCAACGUGGGAACUGCCUUUGAAACUGGCAAACUGGAGUGUGUGAGAGGAUAGUGGAAUUCCGGGUGUAGGGGUGAAAUGCGUAGAUAUCUGGAGGAACAUCAGUGGCGAAGGCGACUAUCUGGCACAUAACUGACGCUGAGGAGCGAAAGCGUGGGUAGCAAACAGGAUUAGAUACCCCAGUAGUC
rnacentral:rRNA from 1 species